rnacentral:other from 1 species
ACGGUUAUAAAUCAACAUAUUGAUUUAUAAGCAUGGAAAUCCCCUGAGUGAAACAACGAAUUGCUGUGUGUAGUCUUUGCCCAUCUCCCACGAUGGGCUUUUUUUUUU